UACGUAGGGAGCGAGCGUUGUCCGGAUUCAUUGGGCGUAAAGAGCUCGUAGGCGGCUUGAUAAGUCGGAUGUGAAACCUCCAGGCUCAACCUGGAGUCGCCAUCCGAUACUGUCAUGGCUAGAGUCCGGUAGGGGCCCACGGAAUUCCUGGCGUAGCGGUGAAAUGCGCAGAUAUCAGGAGGAACACCGGUGGCGAAGGCGGGUCUCUGGGCAGUAACUGACGCUGGAGGAGCGAAAGCCGUGGGGAGCGAACAGG
rnacentral:rRNA from 1 species